CCGACUCGAUGCACGAGUUUGGGUGAACUUCGGGAGUUGGUGAUGGACAGGGAGGCCUGGCCUCCUCAUGGGGUCGCGAGGAGUCAGACAAGACUGAGAGACUGAACUGAACUGAAUCUGAAUUGAAGCAGAAAUCAGAGCAGAGGUUGUGUCCCUCCGGAGACGGCCAGCAGAUGUCGCCACAGACCGGGAGGAGGCGAGGCGGUGCGGUGGGCGGGCCUCCCGCGGGGCGGCCUCACCUGGUGGCGGCCUCACCUGCCCGCCCCGCCCCCCGCGGAAGCCAAGAGCCCGGGCUCUGGCGUCACCUGGACAAUUGGGAAAGCGGCGCCCGGAGCCACGAGGAGGGGAGAUGAAAGGCGGGUGGCGGGUGGGGGCCGCCUGCAGCGCCAGGUGAGAGCCGGCAGCCCCGCCCCGCGCCUGGGGACCAGGCAGGAAAGCUGAGGUCCAGAGACAGCCUUCCUGGCUCACACAGAACGUCUGUGGCUGAGCCAAGACUGGAACUAGAAUUCCUGCUUCUCACUCACAUUGCUCUCAUCCCACUGCUUUUCUAGCAUGCACCUGGAGCAUCCUUCAGAUGGGCCGGCUAUGCUGGUUAGGACAACUGCAAGAGGACCCUGGGUGUCCUGGGCCCUGGAGGGCUUUCUGAGUGUGACUCGAUGAACCCCAUCUAUGAAAUGGGUCUGGCUAUCGCUUGCGUCUCAUGUCCACAGCUCUGGGUUCUGCACAUUCGGGGAGGCUGGGGCCCAGUCUUGCAGCAGUUGGCAGACUCCUGGCAGGACCCACUGGGAGUAGAAGUUCAAGAAGGGAGCCAGCCAUGAGUGAACACCAGCUACAUGCAUUCUGAGUGGGUACUGCUGCUGCUAAGUCGCUUCAGUUGUGUCCGAUUCUGCGAUCCCAUAGAUGGCAG